rnacentral:lncRNA from 1 species
UUUCGUUUGUCAAGUAUUGUAAGAGAUGAAGGGGAAUGUCAAACAUCAUUCUUAUAAGCGGGAGACGCCAAUCACCGGAAGAUGAACUUUCACGGUGUGAACUUUGACACGCGAAUUUUGCUUAUUAUCAAGGAAAGGCAGUUAAAAGGGGCAGCAGACAGAUGAAUUUGGGGUUAAGAAGAAUCAUAAGCCAGGAAAUGGUUGAAGAUCACAUAUGCCGUUGAAACACUGGCCUCAAAUUAUAUCCGCAUAUGCCACAAUAUGUAAAAGCAAAAUGGAUACUCUAGUAAUAAUUACAAGUUAGUGAUGCUAUAUUUGUAUCAACCUGCACUUGAUGUUCCUCUUACGCUACAAAAUUUAGUUUCUGGCAAACGUUCUCGCUUCCAGCUA